UGCGUAGGCGGUUGGGUAAGUCAGAUGUGAAAUUCCAGGGCUCAACCUUGGAACUGCAUUUGAUACUGCUUGACUAGAGUACUGGAGAGGAGACUGGAAUUCACGGUGUAGCAGUGAAAUGCGUAGAUAUCGUGAGGAAGGCCAGCGGCGAAGGCGAGUCUCUGGACAGUUACUGACGCUGAGGCACGAAGGCUAGGGGAGCAAAC
rnacentral:rRNA from 1 species